rnacentral:lncRNA from 1 species
CAGGGGUGAAGCCUAAACUAAGCAGUGUGCGUGAGGAAGGCAAGCGUGCUGGCGAGCGUGGGGGCGACCAUGAUGUGGCUCGGAGAAAGGGUGCACAUGGGAUUACUACCCAUUGGGUCUGCAAAUAUGAGAGGUGAAUGUUUUCACUGUAGUGCAAGGCGCGUUCUAAGUUUCAUCUUCGCACAUGAUUAUGGGCUUAUGGCAUCUGAUCAGCUUUCUCUGGACAUGCGUAAUUGCAACAUCGUCCCGAUCUUUCCAAAAAUAGAUUGUCUAUGAUUAUGAGAGUCACCACAAGAACAGACGAAAGUGGCGAGACUCGUUACGAAACAAUGCAAAUUCUUUAUCCCUAGGACAGUGACAGUGCUAACAUUCAUGUAUGUAUGUUAGGAGUUACAAUAUGACCUUUUGUUUAUGUAUGUUAACAUUCAAAAAUGUUUGAUGAGAUCAAUAAUGUAUAUACGAGAUGUGAUAAAACUGAACAUAUGUUGUACUUGGCAUAUUUGAUUAAAUAUAUUA